ACCGCAGACCGCCUUAUCGUUCCUAAUUUUAGGAGAGGAAAGUCCGGACACCAAAGAGUAGCAUAAUGGGUAACGCCCAUCCGCCGAGAGGUGAGGACAAGUGCAACAGAAAGUAUGUACAGAUAAUGCUGUAGUGAAACCAGGUAAACUCUAUGCGGUGAAAUGCCAAGUAUAUCAACAACUCUAACUUCGGUUAGAUAAGAGCUACUCGUUCGAUGUUGAAGGGUAGGCAGCUUGAGCUAAACAGUAAUGUUUAGUCUAGAUAAAUGAUAAGGCUCCUUAGGGAGACAGAAUCCGGCUUAUAGGUCUGCUUUUUUC
rnacentral:RNase_P_RNA from 1 species